UGCCCUACGGGACGCAGCAGUGGGGAAUAUUGCACAAUGGGGGAAACCCUGAUGCAGCAACGCCGCGUGAGUGAAGAAGUCAUUCGUGAUGUAAAGCUCUAUCAGCAGGGAAGAAAAUGACGGUACCUGAGUAAGAAGCCCCGGCUAACUACGUGCCAGCAGCCGCGGUAAUACGUAGGUGGCAAGCGUUAUCCGGAUUUACUGGGUGUAAAGGGCGUGUAGGCGGGGAAGCAAGUGAGAUGUG
rnacentral:rRNA from 1 species